GAUGAACGCUGGCGGCGUGCCUAAUACAUGCAAGUCGAGCAAACAGACGAGGAGCUUGCUCCUCUGACGUUAGCGGCGGACGGGUGAGUAACACGUGGAUAACCUACCUAUAAGACUGGGAUAACUUCGGGAAACCGGAGCUAAUACCGGAUAAUAUAUUGAACCGCAUGGUUCAAUAGUGAAAGGCGGUUUUGCUGUCACUUAUAGAUGGAUCCGCGCCGCAUUAGCUAGUUGGUAAGGUAACGGCUUACCAAGGCGACGAUGCGUAGCCGACCUGAGAGGGUGAUCGGCCACACUGGAACUGAGACACGGUCCAGACUCCUACGGGAGGCAGCAGUAGGGAAUCUUCCGCAAUGGGCGAAAGCCUGACGGAGCAACGCCGCGUGAGUGAUGAAGGUCUUCGGAUCGUAAAACUCUGUUAUUAGGGAAGAACAAAUGUGUAAGUAACUAUGCACGUCUUGACGGUACCUAAUCAGAAAGCCACGGCUAACUACGUG
rnacentral:rRNA from 1 species